rnacentral:rRNA from 1 species
UGGGGAAUUUUGGACAAUGGACGCAAGUCUGAUCCAGCCAUGCCGCGUGCGGGAAGAAGGCCUUCGGGUUGUAAACCGCUUUUGUCAGGGAAGAAACGAGUUUCUCUAAUACAGAGACUUAAUGUCGGUACCUGAAGAAUAAGCACCGGCUAACUACGUGCCAGCAGCCGCGGUAAUACGUAGGGUGCAAGCGUUAAUCGGAAUUACUGGGCGUAAAGCGUGCGCAGGCGGUUAUGCAAGACAGAUGUGAAAUCCCCGGGCUCAACCUGGGAACUGCAUUCGUGACUGCAUAGCUGGAGUGCGGCAGAGGGGGAUGGAAUUCCGCGUGUAGCAGUGAAAUGCGUAGAUAUGUGGAGGAACACCGAUGGCGAAGGCAGCCCCCUGGGUCAAGAUUGACGCUCAUGCACGAAAGCGUGGGGAGCAAACA